AGUUGUUCUCAGUUCGGAUUGUAGUCUGCAACUCGACUACAUGAAGCUGGAAUCGCUAGUAAUCGUAGAUCAGCAUGCUACGGUGAAUACGUUCCCGGGUCUUGUACACACCGCCCGUCACACCACGAGAGUUUGUAACACCCGAAGCCGGUGGAGUAACCUUUUAGGAGCUAGCCGUCGAAGGUGGGACAAAUGAUUGGGGUGAAGUCGUAACAAGGUAGCCGUAUCGGAAGGUGCGGCUGGAUCAC
rnacentral:rRNA from 1 species